UACAGAGGUCUCGAGCGUUGUUCGGAUUCAUUGGGCGUAAAGGGUGCGUAGGUGGCGCCGUAAGUCGGGUGUGAAAUUUCGGAGCUUAACUCCGAAACUGCAUUCGAUACUGCGGUGCUCGAGGACUGGAGAGGAGACUGGAAUUCAUGGUGUAGCAGUGAAAUGCGUAGAGAUCAUGAGGAAGACCAGUGGCGAAGGCGGGUCUCUGGACAGUUCCUGACGCUGAGGCACGAAGGCCAGGGGAGCAAACGGG
rnacentral:rRNA from 1 species